UCCCUGGUAGUAUAUCGGUUAGUACACGCGCCUGUCAUCACAACGGGUGUCAAGCCAGAUGCGCGCGAAAGCUGGGUUCGACUCCCAGCCAGGGAG